GUGGGGGUGGCGGAAUGGCAGACGCGUAGGUUUCAGACGCCUAUGGGCAACCGUGUGAGUUCAAAUCUCAUCUCCCGCACCA
rnacentral:tRNA from 1 species